rnacentral:rRNA from 1 species
AAUCGGAGNCUACCAUGCAAGUCGAGGGGUAACAGGAGGUGCUUGCACCUUGCUGACGACCGGCGCACGGGUGCGUAACGCGUAUACAAUCUACCUUUUGCUGAGGGAUAGCCCAGAGAAAUUUGGAUUAACACCUCAUAGUAUCAUAUUAUCGCCUGGUAAAAUGAUUAAAGGUUACGGCAAGAGAUGAGUAUGCGUCCUAUUAGCUAGAUGGUGUGGUAACGGCACACCAUGGCUACGAUAGGUAGGGGCCCUGAGAGGGGGAUCCCCCACACUGGUACUGAGACACGGACCAGACUCCUACGGGAGGCAGCAGUGAGGAAUAUUGGACAAUGGGCGCAAGCCUGAUCCAGCCAUGCCGCGUGCAGGAAGACUGCCCUAUGGGUUGUAAACUGCUUUUAUACAGGAAGAAACACUCCCUCGUGAGGGAGCUUGACGGUACUGUAAGAAUAAGGAUCGGCUAACUCCGUGCCAGCAGCCGCGGUAAUACGGAGGAUCCAAGCGUUAUCCGGAAUCAUUGGGUUUAAAGGGUCCGUAGGUGGAUAAUUAAGUCAGAGGUGAAAUCCUGCAGCUCAACUGUAGAAUUGCCUUUGAUACUGGUUAUCUUGAGUUAUUAUGAAGUAGUUAGAAUAUGUAGUGUAGCGGUGAAAUGCAUAGAUAUUACAUAGAAUACCAAUUGCGAAGGCAGAUUACUAAUAAUCAACUGACACUGAUGGACGAAAGCGUGGGGAGCGAACAGGAUUAGAUACCCUGGUAGUCCACGCCGUAAACGAUGGUCACUAGCUGUUCGGACUUCGGUUUGAGUGGCUAAGCGAAAGUGAUAAGUGACCCACCUGGGGAGUACGUUCGC